rnacentral:lncRNA from 1 species
GCCCGGUGUGUGGGAUGAAUUGCAUCUCCAUUGGGGCCUGCCAUGCUGUCUGAUAAAGUGAGGAUUAUGAAACUCAGGAGGAGGAACGUAACAAUGGCUUCCUUUUCUUUAGGGGGAUAGAGGUCUGAAGGGAGAGAAAGGUGAACCAGGACUACCUGGGAAACCAGGCGAGACCGGACUAAGAGGUAAAGAUGGAGAACCAGGGGAGAAAGGCACCUCUGGGACCAAGGGAGAAGCUGGUGUCCCUGGAGAACCAGGAGAGAGAGGAAUCAGGGGGCCACCUGGACUCCCAGGACGGCCUGGAGAGCAAGGGAUAAAAGGCGAUACAGGACCACCUGGAAAGGAUGGAAUCACUGGAGAGAAGGGAGACAAGGGCGAAGCUGUAGGUUUGCACAUUCCCCUUUAUAACCUUGCAUGAGGGAAAGCCUGUUUGGGGGCUAAAAUGUUGAAUUGUGCCACUCACUAUUUCUUUUUUUUCUGGGGGGGUGGGGGUAUGGUGGUGUUUUAUCUUCACAGGGUGAGCCUGGGCUGCCUGGGACUCCUGGAAGCCUUGUGAGUAAUGCCUGGUUCUGUUGUCUUAUACAUUUGGGGAAGGGAUAUGCUGAGAUUUAUCAUGAAUCUCAUGAUAAAUUGU